CGUUGGAGUCGUCAAUCUUCCUUAUUAAAUUGUGAUUAAAGCGUUCCGCGUUCAGUUUAUAUUUUACGAAAAGCUGUGAAAUUAGACUGCUUACUUUCUAUAGUUCGUGUUCUUCCGUAAUUUCAAAAGAAUAUCUCAAGUGUUCGGACGAGAUAUGUUUCAUUUGAAAGAUCGGUUUUGUGUCUGUGGUAUUGGUCUUAUGAGAUUCAAAGUUGAUUAUUUAUCCUUCCUAAGGAAAACCUGUGGUCAGGAUAACAUCACUACCUAAUUGUUCUCUCAGUCACAGAAUUGCGGAGAUCAAUUGUCCUGUUUAGUUUAUUCAGUGUGAACAUUCGCUACCAUUUCAUGUGUGUGUGAUGUGUGUGUCUCUCUCUAAAGGAUAAUUCUGUCUACUUGAACAUACCUAUGGGAUAUUCCUUUCUUCUGUCGUUCAUUUGGAACCGGGUGAAAAUUGACCAUGUAAAUGACAUCACAUCCAAAAGUGAUUCUGAAGUAUCUCAUCGAGCAAAUGAACCGGGAUCUUCAUUCAUAGAGAAUGCUGAAAAAGCGCAUCAGUCCAACCCGAAGCCGAAAAAGAUGAGAAAAUCAAACUCAAGUGACAUUUCGUAAGUACAAAAUUUAAGUAUUACUUUCGUACUUACGUUGCUGAUUCAAGGAAGUAAAAUGAAAGAAAUGGUAUGAAAAAUACAAAGAUUUGUUGAAAAUUACACCAAUUGAAAGAGAUAUUGAAGAAUUAGUCAUACAAACUGAACAAUCUCUUUCAGAACAAUAAACACUCUAAGGAUUUUGUAUAAGCGAUCAGCUUUCCCACAUUUUGCCACAUUAUUCAAAAUCCAAAUGAAAAUUAAGAUGAAUGUUACAUCCCAUAAAGAAUGUUGAAUUUUCCUGGCAUCAUGUGUCAACCAUUGUCGCAAUACACAAGCAGAAUCUUUAUUUAUUGACACAGGAAACUCACCAUUUUUUCUUGUUUUACCCUCCACACGACUUGUAAAAAAAGGAAGGGUCAAGAUAGUGCAAAUCUACCAUUUUUAAGAAAAGGCAUAUGUAUGUGCAUCCAAGCAAACGGAACGAGGUUGAGUUUCGGUUAGCAUAAGUUCAAUACGGACACGAUUUGGAAAUUCAGCAACACUUCUCGUUUACUCAGACGAAAAAUCUGGCUACAUCCAGAUGAUACUCUGCAAAAUAAGGUUCCCGAGUUCAAUUCGUUACAAUACAUUUAUUUUAUCCAGCGCUUUCAGUGUCGAAGAGAUGCAGCGGCGCAGCUCCACGCCGCAAA
rnacentral:lncRNA from 1 species